UACGUCCCAGAGAGCGAGUAACCCCUGACUGACUCGAAUAACCCCUGACAGCAGCUCGCAGAUCGAGGAGGGGCUUACAUUUUCCCUAAACGUGGGCUGGUCUGAACGUUUAAGCAGAAAGCGGGAGAACGUGUUUCCGUCUGAGUCCAUAAUAGAGCUCGUCCGAAGAAGACCGAUUGCAGGACAGAAAACGGCGACGAGUGCAAGGAGGGCUACAGACGCUGGGAAAUUGACAGAACUGGAAACCGGGAACAGGGUUGCUUGUUAUGGGCCAGAAAAAUACCAUGAUACUUGCCAUUGUUAAACAUUUAUGGAAGCUUAAGGAAUGUAUUUGGCUUCGCUAAAAGAGAUUUCUUUGCAGAUCAAACAUUUUUUG